CUGCCUCUAAUCUGAAGGGAAAAACAAAAAAUUUACUUACCGUAAAUUUAUUUUUCCUGAAGAUUAGAGGCAGUGCUAUAAUCCCCCCUCCCCUCCCACACCUUUUAUUUUUUUUCUUUCUAAUAAACUCGGAAUUGUGCAUGUAACCGGCUUGUGUAUUUUCUGGGGUUGUUUUUGGUAAGCUGACAUUUAUAGGAAGGUGCUCAAUAAGGGGGAGGGUUUUUAAAAAGUUUGGAGAAUUGCC